UACGUAGGGGGCAAGCGUUGUCCGGAUUUAUUGGCGUAAAGAGCGUGUAGGCGGCCAGGUAGGUCCGUUGUGAAACUGAGGCUUAACCUCCAGCUGUCGAUGGAAACCAUCUGGCUAGAGUCCGGAAGAGGAGAGUGGAAUUCCUGGUGUAGCGGUGAAAUGCGCAGAUAUCAGGAAGAACACCCGUGGCGAAGGCGGCUCUCUGGGACGGUACUGACGCUGAGACGCGAAAGCGUGGGGAGCGAACAGG
rnacentral:rRNA from 1 species